rnacentral:rRNA from 1 species
GAGUUUGAUCAUGGCUCAGAACGUACGCUGGCGGCACGCCUAACACAUGCAAGUCGAACGAAGUAGCAAUACUUAGUGGCAGACGGGUGAGUAACAUGUGGGUAUCUACCCUUUGGCCUGGAAUAACACGAGGAAACUUGUGCUAAUACCGGAUAAGUCUUUACGGAGAAAGCUUUAUGCACCAUUGGAUGAGCCCGCACUUGAUUAGUUUGUUGGUAGGGUAAUGGCCUACCAAGACUAUGAUCAAUAGCUGAUUUGAGAGGAUGAUCAGCCACAUUGGGACUGAGACACGGCCCAAACUCCUACGGGAGGCAGCAGUGGGGAAUCUUGCACAAUGGAGGAAACUCUGAUGCAGCGAUGCCGCGUGAGUGAAGAAGGCCUUUGGGUUGUAAAGCUCUUUCGUCGGGGAAGAAAAUGACUGUACCCGAAUAAGAAGGUCCGGCUAACUUCGUGCCAGCAGCCGCGGUAAUACGAAGGGACCUAGCGUAGUUCGGAAUUACUGGGCUUAAAGAGUUCGUAGGUGGUUGAAAAAGUUGGUGGUGAAAUCCCAGAGCUUAACUCUGGAACUGCCAUCAAAACUUUUCAGCUAGAGUAUGAUAGAGGAAAGCAGAAUUUCUAGUGUAGAGGUGAAAUUCGUAGAUAUUAGAAAGAAUACCAAUUGCGAAGGCAGCUUUCUGGAUCAUUACUGACACUGAGGAACGAAAGCAUGGGUAGCGAAGAGGAUUAGAUACCCUCGUAGUCCAUGCCGUAAACGAUGACAACUAGCUGUUGGGAGACUAUGUCUUUCAGUGGCGCAGCUAACGCUUUAAGUUGUCCGCCUGGGGAGUACGGCCGCAAGGCUAAAACUCAAAUGAAUUGACGGGGACCCGCACAAGCGGUGGAGCAUGUGGUUUAAUUCGAUGCAACGCGAAAAACCUUACCUACUCUUGACAUACUUGGAGGCUCUUGUAAUGAGAGUGUGCCUUUUGGAACCAAGAUACAGGUGCUGCAUGGCUGUCGUCAGCUCGUGUCGUGAGAUGUUCCGUUAAGUCGGAUAACGAGCGCAACCCUUACCCUUAUUUGCCAGCGAUUCGGUCGGGAACUAUAAGGGGACUGCCGGUGAUAAACCGGAGGAAGGUGAGGACGACGUCAAGUCAUCAUGGCCCUUACGAGUAGGGCUACACACGUGCUACAAUGGGAGAUACAGACGGACGCUAAGCCGCGAGGUGGUGCUAAUCCUAAAAAGUCUUUCGUAGUCCGGAUUGGAGUCUGCAACUCGACUCCAUGAAGUCGGAAUCGCUAGUAAUCGCGGAUCAGCAUGCCGCGGUGAAUACGUUCUCGGGUCUUGUACACACCGCCCGUCACACCAUGGAAGUGGAUUGCACCAGAAGUAGAUAGUCUAACCUUAGGGAGGGCGUUUACCACGGUGUGCUUCAUGACUGGGGUGAAGUCGUAACAAGGUAACC